GCAGAAUUUGAGACAUACAGAAUUACCAUAGGCCCAUUAGAAUCAACAGUCUUUGCCAAUCUGGAUCCGCACUACAGAACUUAUGAAGAUGUUUGCAUACUGAAGAAGAGUGCUUGGACAAAUACUGAAACCCUCUUGGUGCCCACUACACAGGCAGGGGUGUCCAGACCUGCUCUAGGAAAGCCAGUGUUCUGUGGAGUUUAGCUCUAACUCACCUGCCUGGAACUUCUAGCUAAUGAAAUUGAAGUAUCCAAAUGAAGACCCUAGCAGUAUGGAGUAUAUGG